rnacentral:sRNA from 1 species
GCUGGGCGCGGUGGCUCGCGCCUGUAAUCCCAACACUUUGGGAGGCUGAGGUGGGAGGAUUGCUUAAGCCCAGGAGUUCAAGACAAGCCUGGGUAACAUAGCAAGACCCCAUCUCCA